UGUCAAAAACUGGAUGUGAAAAGAUGAUG
rnacentral:piRNA from 1 species